CCAGUUGACUCAGUUCUGCAGUUAGGAAUAAGAUUAUAUAUUUAUCUCAAUGGGGGAUAUAAAGCCAAUUACUGCAUUCAAUUCAUGACAUUCAACUUUUAACUAGUUCUUUAUGCUUUUUGCAGUUGAAAUUGAUUACAAAAACUUAUAAAAAAUAAUGUCAGUGACGUUGCACACAGAUCUUGGGGAUAUAAAAGUUGAACUUCAUUGCGAACAAGCACCGAAGUCAUGUGAAAAUUUCCUAGCCUUAUGUGCCAGUAACUAUUAUGAUUCGUCUUUGUUUCAUCGUAAUAUAAAAGGAUUUAUGAUACAGACUGGCGAUCCCACAGGUACAGGGAAAGGUGGGACAAGUAUAUGGAAUAGAAAAUAUGAAGAUGAAAUUUGCGAAUCAUUAAGACAUAACAGCCGUGGUGUAAUUUCAAUGGCAAAUAGUGGACCAAAUACGAAUGGAUCACAAUUUUUUAUUACAUAUGGAAAACAACCACAUUUAGACACAAAAUACACAAUCAUAGGUCGUAUUAUUGACGGACUUGAGGUUCUGGACGACCUUGAAAAACUUCCUGUGGAAGAGAAAACAUACAGACCCAUGACUGAUGUUAGGAUACAAAGAGUAACAAUUCAUGCUAAUCCUAUUGCUGAUGCAUCUUAAUAAAAAUCUUGGAUAAGGAUUAUUAUUGGUUUCUGCCUAAUAUAGUACUAAUCUGACACCUUGCCAUUAAAAGGUUUGUAAACCUGUCGGCAUAAGCUCCAACAGAGUAUGAACAAAUAGAAGUGCCUAUGUUGCAGUGGAAAAUCUUUCGAAGUUUUCAAUUUAGCAUGUUAUUAUGGUUGUGGUGGUAUCUUUGCAUAUGUAAGGGAAAUGUUUAAACAAGCAAUUUGAAAUUGUUUUACAAUAAAUUUAAAAGAAUUUUUGAGUUGAUCCGAAGUGCCAAUAAAAAUGAAUUCUCAGGGAUGUCCAAAAUGAAUCAAAUUGAUUCAAAAUAUUUGUAUUCAAUAUUUGAAAUACUUGAUAAUUAGUAAAAAUUUACAGAUUUGUACAUAUGUACAAGCAUAUGGAACAAUCUAUUCUAGAAUGACUUUUUGAUUAAAUUUAUAAUAAAAUAUUUCUUGGAUCUUUCGUACAAAGCCCCCACCAAAAAAAACAUCCCUGCCAAUGUUUAAAAUGAAAAUUUUUUUAAUUAUCCAGUUUGGGUUAGGAAUGCAAAUUGCGCUGGAAAUUCAAAUUAUUCCUAACCCUAGCCCCAACUGGAUUAUUACCUAAAUUGUUAUUUUAAAACAAAGCGGGGGUGUUUUUCUCAAAUCUCACAUUAGUGGCAGGUUUUUUUUCUUUUCUACAUGUUCUGCUAACUGCAAUAAAAGGAUUGAACUAGAGAGGUUUAGCUGCUUUAUGGAAUUAUUUUCACACAAAACUGCUAAUACGGUAUGUUUUUGUAUUCUAUAGUAUGCAAUUUAGUUGUUUAUAACAAUGAGUUUAUGGGGGCGUUUCCUUCGUGAAGCAUCUGAAACCACUUGCUAUACAAAUAUUUCAAAAAAAUUUAUAUCAACAUCAUGUAUGGCAAAUGCUGGCUUUCAAGGGCGAUCAGGGAUCAGCGCAUCUUCCGAAAUGAGACAGAGUCAAAUAACAAGAAAAAGACGUGUUAUUUUGAAACUUGAAAAAAUGCCUCUCCAACAAAAACCAGUUCAGGACUUUCAAAUUAAAUAUUCAUGGAAAACAGAACUACGGCAAAGAUCUCUUGAGCCGCUCACUGCAGAAGAAUUGGAGCGAAGAAUAUUAUUACAAAAAGAAUGGAGUAAGUUUGUAACAAAUCGUAAAAAGAAAGAAGAUGAAAAACUUCUCAUUCUCAAGGAAUCUCAGGAAACAGCACUGUAUGAGUUACGCCUAGAAUCUGAAGAACUUUACCUUGCCGCAACGGAAGUAGAUGAAAACCUCUUUCCAUUUGCCAUGGAAGGCCCUACAGAAACUCCCCCCAACAAAAACUAUGUAGCACCAUUGGGAACUUAUAUCCAGAGAGAGGAAGAGAAUUAGACUCUAGAAAAUCUAAGAAAGGGACGAUUAAUGGAGCUUAUAUUGCAGGGAUUGCGAACCAAUGCCCGCCAUGUUUUUAGGUGACAUGCGAAGUCAACGAAUUAACGCUAAAACAAUUCAGCGAUAAAAACUUGAAUAUUUGAAUCUAACAAUAUGUGAACUACUGUGCAGCUAUUAACAACAAAUGCUGUUAUUUGAAAUAGCAAUACAAUUAAUAACAAUACA